rnacentral:rRNA from 1 species
UACGUAGGGUCCAAGCGUUAAUCGGAAUUACUGGGCGUAAAGCGCCCGCAGGCGGCCUGGCAAGUUUCCGGUGAAAUCUCCCGGCUCAACUGGGAGGGGUCCGGGAAAACUGCCAGGCUUGAGUCAUGGAGAGGGAUGCGGAAUUCCCGGUGUAGCGGUGAGAUGCGUAGAUAUCGGGAGGAACACCAGUGGCGAAGGCGGCAUCCUGGCCAUGUACUGACGCUCAGGGGCGAAAGCGUGGGGAGCAAACCGG